ACAUGCAAGUCGAACGGACACCUUCGGGUGUCAGUGGCGAACGGGUGAGCAACGCGUAGGAAUCUACCCCUGGGAGGGGGAUAACAGCUGGAAACGGCUGCUAAUACCCCAUACAGGCGCAAGCUGAAAGGAGCAAUCCGCCCAGGGAUGAGCCUGCGUCGGAUUAGCUAGUUGGUGGGGUAAUGGCCUACCAAGGCGACGAUCCGUAGCGGGUCUGAGAGGAUGGCCCGCCACACUGGGACUGAGACACGGCCCAGACUCCUACGGGAGGCAGCAGUGGGGAAUUUUCCGCAAUGGGCGAAAGCCCGACGGAGCAAUGCCGCGUGAGGGAAGAAGGCCUUCGGGUUGUAAACCUCUUUUCUGGGGGACGAAGCUCUGACGGUACCCCAGGAAUAAGCCUCGGCUAACUCUGUGCCAGCAGCCGCGGUAAGACAGAGGAGGCGAGCGUUAUCCGGAGUCAUUGGGCGUAAAGGGUACGUAGGCGGCUAGUCAAGUCUGAGGUUAAAGACCACAGCUCAACUGUGGGAAGGCCUUGGAAACUGACUGGCUAGAGUGGGGCAGG
rnacentral:rRNA from 1 species